rnacentral:rRNA from 1 species
AUUGAACGCUGGCGGCAGGCCUAACACAUGCAAGUCGAGCGGAGCGGCGGACGGGUGAGGAAGGCCUAGGAAUCUGCCUGGUAGUGGGGGAUAACGUCCGGAAACGGGCGCUAAUACCGCAUAAUAUCAGAUGAGCCUAGGGCGGAUUAGCGAGUUGGUGGGGUAAAGGCAUACCAAGGCGACGAUCCGUAGCUGGGCGGAGCGGAUGAUAAGUCACACUGGAACUGAGACACGGUCCAGACUCCUACGGGAGGCAGCAGUGGGGAAUUUUGGACAAUGGGCGAAAGCCUGAUCCAGCCAUGCCGCGUGUGUGAAGAAGGUCUUCGGAUUGUAAAGCACUUUAAGUUGGGAGGCGUUACCAACAGAAUAAGCACCGGCUAACUUCGUGCCAGCAGCCGCGGUAAUAC